AUGUUUGCAGCUCAACGAUGUUUCCCAGCAUGCCAUUUUAAGGAAAGAAGAUUUCCUUGUAACCCCUUCCAAUCUGAACAGCCCGGCUGCCUUCCAGGAAGACGUUCCUGGCUAUUUGGAGCCAUCUGGCAGAUGGCUGCUUUGGUUCACAUCUUUUUCUUGGUGGUUUCAGAGAGAAGACUCCUCCUGGGAACCUUCACGUGUGACUGCAGGAAGCAGAUCCAUUUGCAUUUGCCUGACCUGAUGGGGAAGCACAUGGAAGAUGGCAUCGAAGGAUAUGGGCUCUCCCUAGUGCUGGAAGCAAUGAGAUCAGGAUUUCAGGGCUGCAUCUGAGGCCACGAAGUAGCUCGGCCCAUAUUUGACAGGAUGUGAGAAACGUCGACAUCUGUGCCCUUCGGUGCUUGGUAAGAAUAAGGCCUGAAGAGGUUUCGUUCCUUCAGCCGGCAGUGAGAUGAGGAAUGUCAAGCAUUUGGGAAAACUGCAAAGUGUUAUUUUGUGAAUGUCAGUUCCCAGAAUCCCGAGUCAGAAGGGACUUGAAGGCCAAGCCCAGGGGCCCUCCCCGCCAGUGGUUAUCUGGAUGGCCUUGGUUUGAAGGCCGUCCGCCAAGCUCCCGUGUCCUUCUGGGGAGUGGGGAUGAUGGUAAUAAUAAUAAUGAUGAUGAUAAUUUGCUUACUCUAGAGAAGCACAGAAUGAAGAUCCAAAUUGAAAGGGCUUCAGAGGGACCCAGGAAGUAAGUAGCUGCCUUGAAGAUCUUCCAAGAAAACGUGGGCCUAUUUCCAGUGGCCUCCCUGGCGUAGCUACUUCUACUUCCGCUGGGAUGGCCAUUGUACGGAGCUCUGAUUUCAGAGCUAAGCCUGGUCUCUCUCCGUCUCUCUGUCAUUGUUGAGAUAAUAGCAAAAUGACUGGACCUCCCAGAUCCUCCUCUAAAAAACGAAGUGAAUCCAGAUCAUCGCUAAUGGAAUUUUUUAAAAUUUAAAUUUAAAUUAAAUGCACUGCAUGCUAAGCACAGCCCUAAGCUCUGGGAGUCAGUCCCUGCCCUCCAGAGGCUUCCCUUCGAAAUAAGAGUCACUUCUCAAAGGCCAGCAGCUGGUCAAGGCUCCAGAGCCUUGGUUAGCAAAGGCAGGACGGAUGGUCCCUGGCCAGAGUCAGUAGAGCAGGGUUCGAGGGUUUUGGCAGAGGUGCAGAAGGGAAGGGUUUUCCAAGGCCUGCUUCUGAUGGGAAGUGAUCUGGGAAGGUGGAAAGGCUUCUGCAUCUCCUUCUAGCUCUUAACCUAAGGUCUUGUGUGAUCAUUUAGCAGAGGAAGAAGUCUGGAGGAGCUUCAGGUAGGUUAAAC
rnacentral:lncRNA from 1 species